AACGAACGCUGGCGGCAUGCCUAACACAUGCAAGUCGAACGAGACCUUCGGGUCUAGUGGCGCACGGGUGCGUAACGCGUGGGAAUCUGCCCUUGGGUUCGGAAUAACAGUUGGAAACGACUGCUAAUACCGGAUGAUGACGUAAGUCCAAAGAUUUAUCGCCCAGGGAUGAGCCCGCGUAGGAUUAGCUAGUUGGUGGGGUAAAGGCCUACCAAGGCGACGAUCCUUAGCUGGUCUGAGAGGAUGAUCAGCCACACUGGGACUGAGACACGGCCCAGACUCCUACGGGAGGCAGCAGUGGGGAAUAUUGGACAAUGGGCGAAAGCCUGAUCCAGCAAUGCCGCGUGAGUGAUGAAGGCCUUAGGGUUGUAAAGCUCUUUUACCCGGGAUAAUAAUGACAGUACCGGGAGAAUAAGCCCCGGCUAACUCCGUG
rnacentral:rRNA from 1 species